UGAGGCGUUAAUAACAACUCGUGAUUGGGAAUAUGGAAUUGGAAAAGAAGAUAUGGAUGAGGACAAUGUGAUUGUUGAAGAAGAUGUAUUAGGAUUUGAACCUGACGCAGUGGAGGAUGGGGCAGUGGAGGAUGUGGAGGAAGUAAGUUCUUAUGCGUCUAGUUAGUAUGCGUACUUCUUCAAUAUAAAGCGGGGAAGUGGUUAUUAAUAUGGUACAGUCUCGGAGGUUUAUUUUCAUUGUUGGAAACUAUGUUUAUUUUCAUUGUUGGAAACUUGGAAAUAUCAUCAUGAUUCAUGAACUGUAA